GACGAACGCUGGCGGCGUGCCUAAUACAUGCAAGUUGAGCGAUGAAGAUUGGUGCUUGCACCAAUUUGAAGAGCAGCGAACGGGUGAGUAACGCGUGGGGAAUCUGCCUUUGAGCGGGGGACAACAUUUGGAAACGAAUUCUAAUACCGCAUAACAACUUUAAACAUAAGUUUUAAGUUUGAAAGAUGCAAUUGCAUCACUCAAAGAUGAUCCCGCGUUGUAUUAGCUAGUUGGUGAGGUAAAGGCUCACGAAGGCGAUGAUACAUAGCCGACCUGAGAGGGUGAUUGGCCACAUUGGGACUGAGACACGGCACAAACGCAUACGGGAGGCAGCAGUAGGGAAUCGUCGGCAAUGGACGAAAGUCUGACCGAGCAACGCCGCGGGAGGGAAGAAGGUUGUCGGAUCGUAAAACUCGGUUGGUAGAGAAGAACGUUGGUGAGAGUGGAAAGCUCAUUAAGUGACGGUAACUACUCAGAAAGGGACGGCUAACUACGUG
rnacentral:rRNA from 1 species